CCCUUAGAUGUCCUGGGCCGCACGCGUGCUACACUGAUGCAUACAGCGAGCACUUCCCGGCCCCGAGAGGCGGCUGGUAAUCAGCAAUAUGCAUCGUGAUGGGGAUAGAUCUUUGGAAUUCUUGAUCUUGAACGAGGAAUGCCUAGUAGGCGCAAGUCAUUACCUUGCGUCGAUUAAGUCCCUGCCCUUUGUACACACCGCCCGUCGCUCCUACCGAUUUGAGUGAUCCGGUGAACCUUUUGGACUAGGCCGCUUGCGGCUUGGAAAAUCAAGUAAACCACGUCACUUAGAGGAAGGAGAAGUCGUAACA
rnacentral:rRNA from 1 species